GAUGCUUUGAAGCGGGGUUCUAAGACUUUAAGAGAAUUCGAACGGAUCCUGAUUUGGAAAAUGUAAGGAAGUCCGAGGAAUUUGAUCCUCUUCUGAAAAGGUUCGACGAAUCCUUUAUCAAUGAGAACGCCAUUAAUGCCACCAAAUCUCUAUUUGGCUUCAACAAAAAGUAGAGCUGAAAAUUGGCUGUGCAAUUGAAGAACCUUGGUUCUCUACCGAGACAAGGCUUAAGACGAGGACCGGAGAAGCAACUGCUCAUACUGAUGGGAGCUUCGGGCAAAUUUAUUCAUUCUCAUUAUGCACGUCACUUUGAUCUUGGACUUCGAAACAUGCCGAGUGGAAAUUUUUCUGGUAGUUACAUA